GAUUCCGCGAAGAGCCCGCUUCUAGUUUGUUUUCCAAAUCUUCUAUUCAAAAUUUUGCUCAAAAUUUGAAUGGGAGAUUUGAGAAUUGAACUAGAAGCGGGCCUUUCACGG
rnacentral:pre_miRNA from 1 species